rnacentral:tRNA from 1 species
GCCUCGUUAACUCAGCGGCCAGAGUGCCCGCCUGUCUAGCGGGAAGUCAGGGGUUCAAAUCCCCUACGGGGCGCCA